rnacentral:lncRNA from 1 species
AAAGCAUGAGUGUGUGACGCCAACCAUUUGUUUUGCCUUUGUCUUGUGUUCCUACAGGAAAUUCAUUACCCUUAAAAUACUUGACCGUGAGGAGUAUGAGAAAGAGUGCAGUUUCUACCUUGUGCUUGAGGAACCAAUAUGGCUACGAAGAGGAAUGAAAGGUGGCUUCACAAUAACAGGCAAACCUGUCUUCAGGAAGGUCCAUGCAAGAGAACAUCCAAUUCCUUCUACUGUAAUCAGCAUUCAAGGGAAUGCAGCGUUUCUCUGUGCCAGUGGAAUUCUGUGCUUGAGUGGAGUUGGCCUAAGUGACUUCAGCAUCUUCAUUUGACUUCUUG